UAGUCAUAUGCUUGUCUCAAGAUUAAGCCAUGCAUGUCUAAGUACAUACUGUUUAUAAAGUGAAACCGCGAAUGGCUCAUUAAAUCAGUGGCCACGGCCCCUAGCGAAUCUACCAUCUUUUUGUGUCCAAACAAGAACUUCAAAUCCUCAAAUUGUAGCAAAUACUCGUUUUCUAUUUUUUAUUCAUUGUUUCAACCCGGAAGCGCGAAACACGAAUACAUGAGUCACUAGAGAUAAGCACUUUCUUUGGAAGUCAUUUAAUCUACCUGAAAAGAUAAGAUUAACUUUUCCUGCCAUGCUUUCCAAAGGCUUUCAAAAUUUAUGCUUAGGAAAUUUUUUCAAAGAGUUACUACACUAAUUUGUCUGUAUCAAUUGAUUGUGAUGUGUUUAAAGUCUUAAAAAUUACCAGCAUAUUUUUCGGACCUCAGGUGAUAACAAAAUGAUAAAAUUGAACGAAGUCCGUAAACGGAUUAAGAAUUACAUGACUUGAAACUAACGCAUGGUAAAUUCCGUUCAAAACUUUAGCAUUUUCGCUGAUUGAGGCGCAAGGAAUUAAUGAAAAAAUCUAGCAAACUAAUCGUGCUAUUUUUCUGAAAUUUAAUUAUUAUAAAUAUAUCCCUAUUAUAAUCAUUGCUAGGAAAUUUCAAGUCUAUUGAACAAAUGGUUUCUGAGAAAAUAGAUGAAGUAAAUUGUCCAAUAAUUUAAGCCCACAGGUUAAUACAUGAACAAGUGUUCCAACCUCAGCUUGCUGACGGAAGGAUCGCAUUUAUUAGUACAAGACCAAUGAUUCUUAUUCACCUAGAACCCUGUUCAGUGAUUUCGGUCGCUGUCUAAGGACUAGCAGUGGGGAUCUUAGCAACUUCGGUUGCAUUUCUUGUGAUGACUCUGAAUAACUGAGCAAAUCGUAUGGCCUCUGAGCCGACGAUGUAUCCCUCAAGCAACUGCCUUAUCAACUGUCGAUGGUAGGUUAUGCGCCUACCAUGGUUGUAACGGGUAACGGGGAAUUAGGGUUCGAUUCCGGAGAGGGAGCCUGAGAAACGGCUACCACAUCUAAGGAAGGCAGCAGGCGCGCAAAUUACACAAUCCCAGUACGGGGAUGUAGUGACGAAAAAUAACAAUACGGGACUCUAUUGAGGCCCCGUAAUUGGAAUGAGUACAAUUUAAAUCCUUUAACGAGGAUCUAUUGGAGGGCAAGUCUGGUGCCAGCAGCCGCGGUAAUUCCAGCUCCAAUAGCGUAUAUUA
rnacentral:rRNA from 1 species